rnacentral:rRNA from 1 species
CGAAACCUGCCCAGCAGAGCGACCCGCGAACAUGUGAUGCCCCCGGUUGCGCCGGACGGUCGGUCGGCGGUCGUCGAAAGCCCCCCCCGCCCGCUCGGAAAAAAACGAACCCCCGGACCGCGCCAAGGAAAACGAACAACGGAUCGGGCGCCCCGAGAGGACGCGCCCCCCCCGAACGAAAUCUCAA